UCGGUCCAACACAGUUGAUAUACAUUUGUUUACCUGUUAUAGUUGCAAGUUGUACAGGCUGACAUUGCCUCGAUCGACAGUGAUGCUGUCGUUCACCCGACAAACACUGACUUCUACAUCGGUGGUGAAGUAGGAAACACGCUGGAGAAGAAAGGUGGCAAGGAGUUUGUGGAAGCUGUCCUGGAACUCCGGAAAAAGAACGGGCCCUUGGAAGUAGCUGGAGGUGAGGUGGGAAAGCCACCGUGCUUAUCUGGUUGUGGCACAUGCAGUAUUAGGAAAGCCAUUUUGUGAGAGGGCUUAGAAUUCAAAGGUGCGUGGCAGUUCAGCCGCAUCUUCAAGACGGAGGCCAAGGACAGCCUGUAGCUUUACAUCUUAGAGUUUCAUCACAUGCAGGUUGUCUGGGAAAAUCACCUUUGCAUUUUUUUUAUUACUUAAAAUAGCUCCUAUAUGUUUGAUGUCUAGAUCACAAAUUUUAAGAAAUUAUAGGAGCUGAGUUUGGU
rnacentral:sRNA from 1 species